UUGCAAUGAUGACCAACUUAGGAGACCUUUGGAUUGAAAUAUGACAAUAACAAACUUGUGUUCUGAGCAUC